rnacentral:rRNA from 1 species
GCCUCCCUCGCCGCCAUCAGACUCCUACGGGAGGCAGCAGUGGGGAAUCGUUGCACAAUGGGGCAACCCGUGAACUGCAGCGACGCCGCGUGAGCGAUGAAGCCCUUACGGGGUCGUUAAAGGCUACUUUCGGCUAGGGAAGAGUAAAUGAACGGUACCUGGCCAGAAGCAGCUGCGGCUAACUACGUGCCAGCAGCCGCCGGUAAUAC